AUGGCCGCAGCAGCUGCAGGCUUAGUUUGGGCGACCUUGCUCAUGUGUGCUGCGCUCGGCGCCGGGGUCGAGAAUCCAUUCUUUCCUCCUGGUUCCGAGCCAGAGCCGGUGAGGAUAUACUCCCAGGAGAAUGCCGCGCUGAACGUGGCCGAACGCGACGGCAACGUUGUCCUCGCGUACGGCGACUGCUCGGACCUUAGACAGAAAUGGUUCAUUGUGACGUCCCCCCACCCCUCCGCACCGUUUGAGUUGCCGCCGCCUUUCGUGCUGCAGAAUGCGCAGACGUUUCAGGUCAUCAUCAUCCCAUCAGGCAGUGGACAGAAGGUGCGCCUGUCGUCUGAACCGCCUAUCAACCCACUGGACUGGCUGUCGUGGUCGCGAGCAGCACUCGAGCAGCGAUGGACGCCGGAGAAGUCCACACGUGCUGACCACUUUUACCAACUGUCGGUUACCAAGAGCGACCCAGCUCUUACCCUCAACGGCCUGUUGGGCAACGUACAUGACGGAACGGAGGUCGGCAUCUAUCAUGCAUCACCAGAUUCAGGGAACGCCAUAUGGCAGAUGACUUCAUACCCACUCUGCGCCCGCUGA
rnacentral:rRNA from 1 species